rnacentral:lncRNA from 1 species
UGGUUUCGAUCGUUGGAUCAAGUUAAGGGAUAUUAGUGCUUAGAACUAAGUGAAAAUAGAUUGUCAAUUGUUCAGUGAAGAUUAAUAGUUGUUUGCCUAGAGCGCAUAGGACUCAGAUUUGUUCUAAAGGUUUUAUAACUGGGUCUUUUCGGCAGGAUAGAAGAAAUUGAGUGUCAAAAGGAUGAUGGAUGCUGAUAGCAUGAUCCAGUGGGUAACAGAUGUUGAUAGAACGAUAUGGUGGAUGGUGGAUAUUGAUAGCACGACCCGAUAGGUGGUGGAUGUGUAGAGCACGACCAUCAAGGCAAUGACAGGUUAGGAGCGAACUUAAGGGUGAUAUCAAAAAUUAGAUGCACCUGCACAACUAAAACAAUCACUAAUUGAUAGGAGUAGUGACCUAUUAAGAGAAAUGGAGUUGUACCCAUUUCUAUUCUAUGAUGUGUAAUUAAGUUUCGGAGACGAAAUUUUUUUAAGAGAGGAGUGAUGUAGAAAUCGAUAUUAUUUUAUUAGAAAUUUUGUAAUCUUGGAAUAUCACUGUGUAAUUUGGCAGUUUUUUAACAGCAUAAAUAGCCACUUUUGUGUUCAAACUAUGCAGUGGGUCGAGAGUGAAAUGUGCGUGCAUUUUUGAAUGAUAGUGUCUUUUGGAGAUGAUUUAGAGCAAGAGAAUAUUGAAAGAUUAGAGUUUAUUUGCAAAA